rnacentral:rRNA from 1 species
ACGGGAGGCAGCAGUGGGGAAUAUUGGGCAAUGGGCGAAAGCCUGACCCUGCGACGCCGCGUGAGGGAAGAAGGUCUUCGGAUUGUAAACCUUUGUAAGCAGGGAAGAAGGAAGUGACGGUACCUGAUGAAUAAGCCACGGCUAACUACGUGCCAGCAGCCGCGAUAAUACGUAGGUGGCAAGCGUUAUCCGGAUUUACUGGGUGUAAAGGGCGCGUAGGCGGGGAUGCAAGUCAGGUGUGAAAUCUAUGGGCUUAACCCAUAAACUGCAUUUGAAACUGUAUCUCUUGAGUGUCGGAGAGGUAGACGGAAUUCCUAGUGUAGCGGUGAAAUGCGUAGAUAUUAGGAGGAACACCAGUGGCGAAGGCGGUCUACUGGACGAUAACUGACGCUGAGGCGCGAAAGCGUGGGGAGCAAACAGGAUUAGAUACCCUGGUA